ensembl:rRNA 5S_rRNA 5S ribosomal RNA
GCUUACGGCCACACCGCCUGGUUCACGCACGAUCUCGUUUGAUCUCGGAAGAUUAGAUAGGGUGGGCCUGGUUAGUACUUGGAUGGGAGACCGCCUGGGAAUACCAGGUGCUGUAAGCU